AGACGCUCAUUUCGCAAUACUCGAGGAGUUGGAGAAUGGAGUUUCUGAAUUACUUCAAAAAUCUCGACGUAGUCGAUUGUCUCCUCUUAGGCGGUACUCUGUGUGCAGCUGCCACUACGGCAUACUACGCCUGGAACCUCUACGAAUCGGCAAUGCAGGAAGACGAUCAACUGGACCCUGACUUCCUAGAGGACCCUGAUGCUCUUAUAAUUUGGGUGGAGGUUAGAUUUGAAUAAUCCCAGUUGGAGAGUGGUGAUUAGAGUCCGUUGUUCUGAUGACCUGCUGUUGAAGCAUCCGUUUUUUUUAGUCACUCUCUCGCCGCUUCUUAAUAAAUUAAUCAUUAAACUCACUGAAUAUACAUCUCUUCUGACAAUCACACUGUGAUUGGUCAACUAACGGCAUGGCCCUCAUAUCAUAUAAGGUUGGAACACUUUUUGUGUCCCAUCCUUAGGAGCAGCUAUUUUACUUCUUGACUGGUGUCUUCUUGAAGGACAUGAGCAUCUACCAGAACCCAAACUGUACCAAAGAAGAUUAUGUGGAUGUCUUCCAAUCGUAACUCAAUUUCCUACAGGAGCACUACCAUUGUGCCCUUAAAAAUAAAGAGAGUUAGAAAUAGAA